rnacentral:tRNA from 1 species
GCUUUCCAGUGGCUCAGUUGGUUGAGCAUUGCAUUCACAAUGCAAAGGUUGUGGGUUCAAAUCCCAAGGAAAGCA